UACGUAGGGUGCGAGCGUUGUCCGGAAUUACUGGGCGUAAAGCGUGCGCAGGCGGCGCGUUAAGACAGGUGUGAAAGCCCCGAGCUUAACUUGGGAAUUGCGCUUGUGACUGGCGUGCUGGAGUGUGGCAGAGGGAGGUGGAAUUCCACGUGUAGCAGUGAAAUGCGUAGAGAUGUGGAGGAACACCGAUGGCGAAGGCAGCCUCCUGGGCCGAUACUGACGCUGAGGAGCGAAAGCGUGGGGAGCAAACAGG
rnacentral:rRNA from 1 species